rnacentral:rRNA from 1 species
AUUGAACGCUGGCGGCAGGCCUAACACAUGCAAGUCGAACGGAGCGGCUGACGGCGGAGUAAUGCCUAGUAAUCUGCCUGGUAGUGGGGGAUAACGUCCGGAAACGGGCGCUAAUACCGCAUACUCUCAGAUGAGCCUAGGUCGGAUUAGCGAGGUGCUGGGGUAAAGGCCUACCAAGGCCCCGAUCCGUAACUGGUCUGAGAGGAUGAUCAGUCACACUGGAACUGAGACACGGUCCAGACUCCUACGGGAGGCAGCAGGGGGGAAUAUUGGACAAUGGGCGCAAGCCUGAUCCAGCCAUGCCGCGUGUGUGAAGAAGGUCUUCGGAUUGUAAAGCACUUUCAGUUGGGAGGCGUUACCAACAGAAUAAGCACCGGCUAACUCCGUGCCAGCAGCCGCGGUAAUUG